AUCUCAAAUCAAGUAAGACUACCCGCUGAACUUAAGCAUAUCAAUAAGCGGAGGAAAAGAAACUAACAAGGAUUCCCCUAGUAACGGCGAGUGAAGCGGGAUGAGCUCAAAUUUAAAAUCUGGCUGGUUUACUAGUCCGAAUUGUAGUUUAUAGAAGCGUUUUCGGUGGCAGCCUGGGUAUAAAUCCUUUGGAAUAGGGUAUCAUAGAGGGUGAGAAUCCCGUCUUUGACUCAGUGCAUGCUACUAUGUGAUACGUUUUCAAAGAGUCGAGUUGUUUGGGAAUGCAGCUCAAAAUGGGUGGUAAAUUUCAUCUAAAGCUAAAUAUUGGCGAGAGACCGAUAGCGAACAAGUACCGUGAGGGAAAGAUGAAAAGAACUUUGAAAAGAGAGUUAAACAGUGCGUGAAAUUGUUGAAAGGGAAACGUUUGACACCAGUUAUGCGGGUGGAAAAUCAGUCUUUUGCAAUGGGGAGUUGUGGGCGUUCAGACCGCAAGGCUGGCGUUUGCUUCAUCUUUGUUGUAAGUGAUGCACUUUUUCAUUUGCAGGUCAACAUCAGUUUGCUUUGCUGGACAAAACCCCAAGGGAAGGUGGCAGCUUAGGCUGUGUUAUAGCCCUGGGGCGAUACAGUGGAGUGGACUGAGGUUUCGCAGUGUGUGCUCUCGGGCAAGGCUGACUGGGUGCUAUGGGAUCGUUCGGCGUACAAUGCAUGCAUUUUGCGUCGUGUCUUUUUCAUACUCGCUCAACUCGGCUNUCCNC
rnacentral:rRNA from 1 species